GAGCUCAAGGAGCUCAUCCGGAAGGCUGACGCUGGCGAGGACGGGGUGAAGAUCUCCCCCUGGUUCAGGCUGGUGGUGGACAACUUCCUCAUGGGCUGGUGGGACCAUGUCGAGAAAGGCACCCUCGGCGAGGCCGUGGACAUGGAGACCAUCCAUAAGCUGAAGGAGUGAGGGGCCGCCGGCCGGCCGGCUCCGAUGACCUCACCACCUGUUGAUGUUGCUGCUGCUGCUGCACUGCAUGUUUAUCAAAAGUUAUCGCUCCUGCUCGCGGAAAGUGAGCUUGACUGUUGCCGGGGUGGAAGUGUCGUUUUGGACUGAAGAUGAGUGCCGCG
rnacentral:lncRNA from 1 species